GAAUGCAUUAAUCAGGAAAAGAGAAGGUGUGAAGGCCAUUGUUAUAGCCAAAUGGUCAAGGAAGAAGGAGUGGAGAGACUUAACGACAUCAUCGACGCGCAUCCAUAAUGAAGGAAGGGCAGAUUGAUGACCCUGAGGUGUACAAAGAUUCGGACUGGAAAUAACAGUGGCAGGGUGUUCACCAGGGCUAAUGAUGUUGGCACAGUCCUCAAACUACCCAGGCAAACAUAAAGUGGCUACAUAGAAGUGAUCUCAGGGUUUUUUCUUUACUGGUGCACUGCAAUCCUUCCAGACAUCACAUCUAUGCAAACAAAUAAGUAACAUUUGGUGCACCCCAGUCUCUGAACCUCCUUGAAGAGUCUUUCUCUGUGGUAUCGAGCCGCAGUCACUGGACACUCACAGUCUGAAGAUACAGAAGUCACGAGGGGAAACGCUUGCUGAAGCAAGAGAGACACUCAGCUCCGAUGACCGUCACUGGUGGAAAGAAAGAAUUGAGGAGGCGGUGGGUCGGCAGGGACCUAUAUGCAGUGCCAUGAAGGCACAACUCCAGGGGGGCGCACAGGCUGACCCAAUGGGUACUGCUAGGGGAAAAGCCUUCCAACUACUGUGCAUGCUGCAUGCACACACCUACUUGGAAUGGACAUGAGCAACACAUCUUGAAGAACAACAGUUACGAGAAGGUAGGUAACCUUGCAUAGGUGCCCCUGCAUAGGUGGCUGCUGACACAACAACAUGAUCCAGUCCUCCACACCAUUUAUUGUUGUGGAUUUAUAUAGUUUUGUAUAUAUAUAUUUGUGAAAUAUGUCUUUUUAUUGGUCACUGAUCUCACGCAUUUUACCACUCAUCACAAGGUCUUCUUUUUUUAUAAAUUUGUAGCCUGCCUGCUUGUGUACAACAGGUGUCUUUUUGAUUUUUUGGUUGCCUGAAAACUUGGUGACGUUUUCUUACUCCAUCUGACAUCUCCUCUUUAGAAUCAAAGUGGCUAUCUAUAGUAGGGUGACCAGAAAGCAAGUGUGAAAAAUUGGGACAGCGGGUGGGAGGUAAUAGGGUGCCUAUAUAAGAUAAAGCCCCGAAUAUCAGAAUGGUCCCUAUAAAAUCGGGACAUCUGGUCACCCUCAUCUAUAGUCUGGGCCAAGACCUGAGGAAGACCUCUGAGUAACUUGAAAACUUGUCUCUCUCACCAACAGAAGUUGGUCCAAUAAAAGAUAUUACCUCACCCACCUUGUCUGUCUAGUAUGUAGAAAGAUUGUUUAAAUUAUGACACUUUUCUUCUAUAAGCUAUUUUUAAAAAUUCUUAUUUAAUUAAAAAUUCAAAGCAGUCCUAACAUUAUGUCCUCAGAACCUUGUAAUAAAGUAGGUAGCUGUGUGAGCAUCUAUCCUCCAGUUUCCCUUGGCUAUCUGUUCAAUAUUCUUUUGUUUUUUGUAUACUUGGAAAUUGGUUCUAAGUCACCUUUCUACUGUUUAAAAUAAUUGUUAUUGGUUAGUUCUUAGGGGAGAGAAGUUACUUUCUGCUCCCCUCUUUCUUAUAACAGGAUCCAAUGGACCACCUUAGUUUCAGUUCAAAUAGAAUUUCAUAGGAACAAUGAAAUGACUGUAAGCACAUAUUGCCAAUUCUAGACUGCAGGAUUUCUUUCUCCCACCUUGAAAGGUGGCAAGACAAUUACUGGUAUCCUUGUAGAUCUGCUUUAAAGCUGGGCAUAAACUGGCAGUGAAUGAAAUGCAUAACCUUCCAACUCAAUGACAUUUAACCCAACAACACAUCAGUUCAGGCAGCAAAAUAAAUUGGUACUCAGCUGCUCCCUGUCUAUU